rnacentral:lncRNA from 1 species
AGUUCUCCCGAAACAACCCCCCAACACACACAAGGAAGCCUGGGCCUGGCAGGAGGGGAUGAGAAGGGGAACCAUCCCAGCCUCUCCUGUGAGCAGGGGUCUGGAACCUGCCUGAUCCUCCCCUCUGCCUGGGGUUGGGGACUGGCCGUCCCUUCCGCAACGUCAGGCCCCGGGGGUUUUGGCUGAAUUCCAGGUGGGAGGAGACCGCACUGGGUGCCUGGCUGGAGGGCAGCUGUGGUACGGCUGGACCCCGGAGCCAGCCCAGGCCCCGCCAGGACAUGGAUGGCUGCUCUCGGGACAAUGGGCUCAGCAUCCAGGCUCAGCUCCGUCUGAGCCCAUGGGCUGGAGGGUGGCCAGGCAGGGAGCUGUGCCAACGGCUGGGAGCAGGGAAGAGGCGUAAAGCCCCGGCCACCCUGUAGCACUGGGGACAGGGGCCUGGAGGUGGCCAGGUCUGAGUGCCCCUCACUGAAGGAAGGGCCAAGGCAACUUCGGUGUGGUGCCAGGAGCAGAGGAGCAUAAACCAAGGUGGGAAGUCCAGAUGGCGCCAGGACAGGGCUCAGCCACUGGGGAAGGUCUCCACGUUUCUGCUCUGUGCUGCCAGAAUGGGACAGUGCGCCCUCUAGUGGGCACCCGAGGAGUGGCGCACAGCAAAGGCGGGGCGCGGGGGAGGGGAGAGCUCCUUGGAGCCGCCAGCGCCCCUGGCUGAAAGGGCAGAGCCUGGACCAUGAAGACGCCAGGGGCGAGUCGGUCAUCACUAAAACCUUCACCAGAACACUUGGGCAGGGAUUCUGUCCCUGGGCCACACCCAAGGCAGGCCUGUCCACAAAAGCCUGUCCAUCACCCUAUGGACAAAAGCUGGAAACAGCCACGCUGAGCCUCUCCAGUCCUUGCUCUGACCAGAGCCCCCAAACCCUCCUGCGCAUCCCAGUCCAGUCUGGGGCUGCCAGAGACCUCUGUCCCACCCGACCUUCGCCGGCUU